rnacentral:rRNA from 1 species
CCUACGGGAGGCAGCAGUAGGGAAUUUUCGUCAAUGGGCGCAAGCCUGAACGAGCGAUGCCGCGUGAGUGAAGAAGGCCUUCGGGUCGUAAAGCUCUGUUGCGGGGGAAAAAAGGCAGCAUCAGGAAAUGGGUGCUGACUGAUGGUGCCCCGCCAGAAAGUCACGGCUAACUACGUGCCAGCAGCUGCGGUAAUACGUAGGUGGCGAGCGUUAUCCGGAAUGAUUGGGCGUAAAGGGUGCGCAGGCGGUCCUGCAAGUCUGGAGUGAAACGUAUGAGCUCAACUCAUGCAUGGCAUUGGAGACUGGAGAACUGGAGAGCAGGAGAGGCAGGUGGAACUCGAGGUGUAGCGGUAAAUUGCGUAGAUAUAAGGAAGAACACCAGUUGCGAAGGCAGCCGGCUGGCCUGUUGCUGACGCUGAGGCACGAAAGCGUGGGGAGCAAAUAGGAUUAGAUACCCUAGUAGUC